AGAAUCUAUCGCAAACUUCAAUAUUGUAACUUAGACUUUAUUCCUUACCCCCACACAAAAUAAAGGCCACACAGUCACUGCACAAAAUGUCUAGGGGGGAGACUUACCUGCAGGAAAUCUGAUCUAAGGAGGUUAGAACAACACAGAAUAUGAACACUUUCAUUUGAAAGCUCACUCAGCAUUCUGUCUAAAAGACCCCUAUCCACAUCCUGAGGAUCAACGUAUUUACAUUCCUUUAACCUUAACUUUGCAAUGGAGCAAGCAGAAGGUUCCAAACACAGAAAUAC